rnacentral:rRNA from 1 species
UACGGGGGUGCGAGCGUUGUCCGGAAUCACUGGGCGUAAAGGCGCGUAGGCGGCCAACUAAGUCGGAUGUGAAAUCCCCAGGCUCAACUUGGGAACUGCAUCCGAUACUGGAUGGCUUGAAUUCGGGAGAGGGAUGCAGAAUUCCAGGUGUAGCGGUGAAAUGCGUAGAUAUCAGGAGGAACACCGGUGGCGAAGGCGGUCUCUGGGCCUUACCUGACGCUGGAGGAGCGAAAGCGUGGGGAGCGAACAGG